rnacentral:misc_RNA from 1 species
CCUAGAGUUGUAGCCUUUGCCUGCUAUCUCUUACCAUGUCUUUUGAGUACCUUCGUUUCCUCGGCGGGUCCGCCCGCCGAUUGGACAAUUUUAACCAUUUGCAGUUGCAAUCAGCGUCUGAAAAAACUUAAUAGUUA